AAAAGAUUUAGAUGCACUAUUGUAAAGUGGCUGUUCCACUGGAUGUCAUAAGGUGAAUGCACCAAUUUGUAAGUCGUUCUGGAUAAGAGCGUCUGCUAAAUGACUUAAAUGUAAUCUGGACAGAGCCUCUACAGACAGACGGAGGCUCAAGGGGACGAGAACAGGCAUACUCAAGCCGGUUUAAUCCCAGAUUACCAGUCUAGAGUUAGUUGUAAGUAUUUUUGCUUUAACACAGGACCACCAGGACAGGAGACAAUCGUAGACCUAAGAGGUUGAUAUGAUAAAGAACAAUUGGGGGUUAUUGAUUUAGUUGGGACAGAUCGGUACGAAGGAUGGAGGUACUGAAGGGAAGGCUGAGGGUGAGGAAUAUGCCAUUUAAGGAGUUAAUGGCUGAGACCUUGGCUAUGUUCGUCCUUAUGGUGAGUACUUCAUCUCAAAAUGUCUUUAUUCAUAUUAUCAAUGAUCAAGGGUUGUUACUGUUUUAUGCAUUCUUAAAUCUCAUAUGAAUUUGUUUAUUCUGUGUUUGAAAGUGCUUGGGAGCAAAAGCUACCUCACCACAAUUGAGGAACAUAUUCAAAAUGAUUUAGAGUAGCUGUUCCUCGAAUCCAUUGGCCAUUCAAAGAUUUGUUUCGACACGGUCAAGACUUGAGUUGGAAUGAGAUCCAGAAACGUGGAACUGAACAGAGCAGCCCUGGGUUAAAACAGAAUAUUCUAGAACGUACUUAACUCUUCUAUCACCUCCUCCAUUGCAAGGGACUUGCCUAGUUAAAUAAAGGUUAAAUUAAAACUAAAACAACAAAGUCUACGUGCUGCUUUUAGUUCUCACCAACCUUGUUUCAAUUUACAUAUUUUUGUCUUCAUCUUUAUUCCUUUAUCAGUGUCUUUUGAAGAUGUUUGGCAAGCAUGCAUGGUGACUACUAAUUUGACCUUGAUCUCUCGUCCACCCUUCCUCUUCUCUCCCUACUCCGUCCCUCUCUCCUUCCUCGAUCUCGCCCUCAGCGAUGGCCCAGGUGAAGUUGACUCGAGGGGCCACGGGCGAGUACCUCUCUGUCAAUAUGGCCUUCUCAGUGGGCGUCAUGAGUGCCAUGUACAUUGCCAGGGGCGUCUCUGCGGUGGCGUCCUGACUGUAUGGCCCAAAUGAAACGGCCUCCAUCUUUGCUACCUACCCAUCCGACUACCUUUCUCUAUGUGGCAGCUUCUUUGACCAGGGAGGAGAGAGGGAAAAUAAUCAGUGCAUACAGUAAUGCAUUCUUGAGGAUUUUGGUGGGCACAGGUAUGAUCAUGAUGUGCUUCCAGCCCCUGGAUGAACGGCGGAACAAGCCUUCCCCCUUCUGACCUGGUGCCCCCCUCACCGCCGUGGUUUUCACGGGGAUCUCCCAGUCCAUGUCUUCAAACUGCGGGGGAGGGAUCAACGCCUCCUCACUCUGACCGCAGGAUGGGGUACAGAGGUCUUCACGUGCUAUAACUACUGGUUUUGGGUCCCAAUCGUGGCUCUGGGCUCUACCUGGUCUUCGUCCAAUGGCACUUACCAGACUGAGAUAAAUUAAACCAAUGACUUGCAGUUCAAGACUAUGGAUAAAAAAAAUGGAAAUCAUCAAAAACAACAAUGCUGUAGAGCUGGCCCACAAGUUCUUGUUGGCGUAACCUUGUCCCCAGGCUCAAUUGCUACACAGAGAGAGUGCCGGCUGGGUGGAUGAGAUUAUAGUUGGUGGUACAGAUGAAGGAUAUACUUGUUUUAUCUAUUAUUUAGCCUUUUUAUGAGCAAAGUAACCAUCUGAAUAACUGAACAUGGUGUUCAGAAUAUUUAGAUACAUUUCCUUUGGUGUUGAUAGAAGGGUACUGUGGGACUUUGUACAAUAUUUUGAAAAAUAAUGAAAAUGACAUGCAAUGAACUUGUAACAGACUGCUUUAUGACAUUCUCUAUCAACUAUACAGAGCCAUAUAUUUUCAGAAAUAUUUGGAUCUUGAGCAAUCUAUAGAUCACUUCAUUCCAUUUAACGAUACUGUUGAUUACAACAACAAAAGAACACCCCUCACCUUUCUGCAUUGAUGAACUAUAGGGCAACCGACAUCAAUGAUAUGUCAUACAGGGGUCGAUUCACAAAUAGAGUACAUUUUGUGUAGUGUAACUUGGUAAAUAAAAAAAUAAUUUUAACAUUGUCAAAAAGAGCACAUGUUCAACUUCGUUAAAAAAAUGUUUUCCCACCAAGAAAAAUAAAUAAUAUAGUAAGUGCAUUAAUGUAACAGGGUUCAGCCAUAAAUCCCUUUGUGACAGGGGGGAAUGGAAGCUUGUUGUGUGGAAUAGGGAGGGGCAAUUGAAUGCAAGCUUCGGACCAGCAUUUUAUUACGUUUGCAAUCGCAAAAAAUAAUCUGCUCAGGUCCCAACCAAGGAUCAUCAAAAGUUGUGCUAUAAAUUCUCGGACAACCCAAAGAUCCUAGAUGCCCUUCCAGACUCCCUCCGCCUACCAAAGGAUGUCAGAGUACAAAAAUUAGUUAACCACCUAACUGAGGAACUCAAUUUAACCUUGCGCAAUACCCUAGAUGCAGUCGCACCCCUAAAAACAUUUGUCAUAAGAAACUAGCUCCCUGGUAUACAGAAAAUACCCGAGCUCUGAAGCAAGUUCUAGAAAAUUGGAACGGAAAUGGCACUACUCCAAACUGGAAGUCUUCCGACUAGCUUGGAAAGACGGUACCGUGCAGUAUCGAAGAGCCCUCACUGCUGCUCGAUCAUCCUAUUUUUCCAACUUAAUUGAGGAAAAUAAGAACAAUCCAAAAUGUAAUUUUGAUACUCUCACAAAGCUAACUAAAAAGCAUUCCCCAAGACAGGAUGGCUCUCACUUCAGCAGUGAUAAAUUCAUGAACUUCUUUGAGGAAAAGAUCAUGAUCAUUAGAAAGCAAAUUACGGACUGCUCUUUAAAUCUGUGUAUUCCUCCAAAGCUCAGUUGUCCUGAGUCUGCACAACUCUAAGGGAGUCACUUAAGUUUUUUAGUACUAUAUCUCUUGACACAUUAUUUUCAUCAAUCAUGGCCUCUAAACCUUUCAAGCUGCAUACUGGACCCUAUUCCAACUAAACUACUGAAAGAGCCUGCUUCCAGGGCUUGGCCCUCCUAUGUUGAACAUAAUAAACGUCUCUCUAUCCACCGGAUAUGUACCAAACUCACUAAAAGUGGUAGUAAUAAAAAAGUAAAAUUGAAAGGAAUUGAAAAAGUAAAACCUUGACCCAGAAAAUAUAAAAAACUAUCGGCCCAUAUCGAAUCUCACAUUCCUCUCAAAAUCUUUUGAAAAAGCUGUUGCGCAGCAACUCACUGCCUUCCUGAAGACAAACAAUGUAUACGAAAUGCUUUAGUCUGGUUUUAGACCCCAUCAUAGCACUGAGACUACACUUGUUAAGGGUGGUAAAAUGACCUUUUAAUGGCGUCAGACCGAGGCUCUGCAUCUGUCCUUAUGCUCAAGUGCUGCUUUUGAUACCAUCGAUCACCACAUUCUUUUGGAGAGAUUGGAAACCGAAAUUGGUCAACACUGACAAGUUCUGGCCUGGUUUAGAUCUAUAUCUGUCGGAAAUAUAUCCGUUUGUCUCUGUGGAUGGUUUGUCCUCUGACAAAUCAACUGUAAAUGUCGGUGUUCUGUUUUAGGACCACUAUUGUUUUCACUGUAUAUUUCACCUCUUGGUGAUGUCAUUUGGAAAAACAUAAGGUUAACUUUCACUGCUAUGCGGAUGACAUAGAGCUGUAUAUUUCGAUGAAACAUGGUGAAGCUCCAAAAUUGCCCUCCCCUGGAAGCCUGUGUUUCAGACAUAAGGAAGUGGUGGCUGCAAAUGUUAUACUUUUAAACUCGGACAAAACAGAGAUGCUUGUUCUAGGUCCCAAGAAACAAAGAGAUCUUCUGUUGAAUCUGACAAUUAAUCUUGAUGGUUGUACAGUCGUCUCAAAUAAAACUGUGGACUUCUGCCUUA